CGGCAGGCCUAACACAUGCAAGUCGAACGGUAACAGGAAACAGCUUGCUGUUUCGCUGACGAGUGGCGGACGGGUGAGUAAUGUCUGGGAAACUGCCUGAUGGAGGGGGAUAACUACUGGAAACGGUAGCUAAUACCGCAUAACGUCGCAAGACCAAAGAGGGGGACCUUCGGGCCUCUUGCCAUCGGAUGUGCCCAGAUGGGAUUAGCUUGUUGGUGGGGUAACGGCUCACCAAGGCGACGAUCCCUAGCUGGUCUGAGAGGAUGACCAGCCACACUGGAACUGGGACACGGUCCAGACUCCUACGGGAGGCAGCAGUGGGGAAUAUUGCACAAUGGGCGCAAGCCUGAUGCAGCCAUGCCGCGUGUAUGAAGAAGGCCUUCGGGUUGUAAAGUACUUUCAGCGGGGAGGAAGGGAGUAAAGUUAAUACCUUUGCUCAUUGACGUUACCCGCAGAAGAAGCACCGGCUAACUCCGUGCCAGCAGCCGCGGUAAUACGGAGGGUGCAAGCGUUAAUCGGAAUUACUGGGCGUAAAGCGCACGCAGGCGGUUUGUUAAGUCAGAUGUGAAAUCCCCGGGCUCAACCUGGGAACUGCAUCUGAUACUGGCAAGCUUGAGUCUCGUAGAGGGGGGUAGAAUUCCAGGUGUAGCGGUGAAAUGCGUAGAGAUCUGGAGGAAUACCGGUGGCGAAGGCGGCCCCCUGGACGAAGACUGACGCUCAGGUGCGAAAGCGUGGGGAGCAAACAGGAUUAGAUACCCUGGUAGUCCACGCCGUAAACGAUGUCGACUUGGAGGUUGUGCCCUUGAGGCGUGGCUUCCGGAGCUAACGCGUUAAGUCGACCGCCUGGGGAGUACGGCCGCAAGGUUAAAACUCAAAUGAAUUGACGGGGGCCCGCACAAGCGGUGGAGCAUGUGGUUUAAUUCGAUGCAACGCGAAGAACCUUACCUGGUCUUGACAUCCACGGAAGUUUUCAGAGAUGAGAAUGUGCCUUCGGGAACCGUGAGACAGGUGCUGCAUGGCUGUCGUCAGCUCGUGUUGUGAAAUGUUGGGUUAAGUCCCGCAACGAGCGCAACCCUUAUCCUUUGUUGCCAGCGGUCCGGCCGGGAACUCAAAGGAGACUGCCAGUGAUAAACUGGAGGAAGGUGGGGAUGACGUCAAGUCAUCAUGGCCCUUACGACCAGGGCUACACACGUGCUACAAUGGCGCAUACAAAGAGAAGCGACCUCGCGAGAGCAAGCGGACCUCAUAAAGUGCGUCGUAGUCCGGAUUGGAGUCUGCAACUCGACUCCAUGAAGUCGGAAUCGCUAGUAAUCGUGGAUCAGAAUGCCACGGUGAAUACGUUCCCGGGCCUUGUACACACCGCCCGUCACACCAUGGGAGUGGGUUGCAAAAGAAGUAGGUAGCUUAACCUUCGGGAGGGCGCUUACCACUUUGUGAUUCAUGACUGGGGUG
rnacentral:rRNA from 1 species